AUGGUGCGUUCACUGACACAUUGUGUGGAGGAGAACAGAGCAGAGGUUUUUGUACGGCCUCUUCAUGACUUUGUAUCACUGUGGUGGACGUUCGGAGGAGGAACACAAGUCAUCGUGGACUUGGGAGUACAGCAGCCCGCCCUGACCGUCCUGCCCCCGUCCAGAGAGGAGCUGCAGAGGGGCAGUGCCACGCUGCUGUGUGUGGCCAGCGGGGGCUUCCCCUCUGAUUGGACGCUGGGCUGGAGAGUGGGCGGGGCCUCCGCAGAGGGGUCCCACAGCCCGGGGGUCAUGAGAGGGGACGGCCUCUACAGCCACAUCAGCGUCCUGAGGCUGUCCACAGAGCAGUGGAGAGACACAUCAGUGAGCUGUGAGGCCCAUCGGAGUGGACAGAGCCCAGUCACUCAGAGCCUGGAGUCACUGUCCUGCUCCCAGUGAGACACGCCCACAUG